rnacentral:tRNA from 1 species
GCCCCUGUAGUCUAGUAAGGUUUUUCCGGCAGUUGCACUUGCACAAAAACCUUAAGCAAAAGAAUUCCGGAAACCUUGGAGACUCCGGUCAAGGAUACUGGCCUCUCGAGCCAGUGACCCGGGUUCAAAGUGACCCUUUUCAGAAAAGCGUCAACGGAAAACGCCUGAAGAGCGUCAUGAAAGUCCCGGCGGGGGCA